rnacentral:rRNA from 1 species
GACGAACGCUGGCGGCGUGCUUAACACAUGCAAGUCGAACGAAAAGAGGGAAAGAGCUUGCUCUUUCCGGAAUUGAGUGGCAAACGGGUGAGUAACAAGUAAACAACCUGCCUUCAGGAUGGGGACAACAGACGGAAACGACUGCUAAUACCGAAUAAGUUCCAAGAGCCGCAUGGCCAAUGGAAGAAAAGGUGGCCUCUACCUGUAAGCUAUCGCCUGAAGAGGGGUUUGCGUCUGAUUAGCUGGUUGGAGGGGUAACGGCCCACCAAGACGACGAUCAGUAGACGGUCUGAGAGGAUGAACGGCCACACUGGAACUGAGACACGGUCCAGACUCCUAAGGGAGGCAGCAGUGGGGAAUCUUCCGCAAUGGGCGAAAGCCUGACGGAGCAACGCCGCGUGAGUGAUGACGGCCUUCGGGUUGUAAAACUCUGUGAUCCGGGACGAAAAGGCAGAGUGCGAAGAACAAACUGCAUUGACGGUACCGGAAAAGCAAGCCACGGCUAACUACGUG